rnacentral:rRNA from 1 species
UACGGAGGGGGCGAGCGUUAUUCGGAAUUAUUGGGCGUAAAGGGCGCGUAGGCGGCUGUACAAGUCAAAGGUGAAAUCCCUCGGCUCAACUGAGGAACUGCCUUUGAAACUGCACGGCUUGAGGCCGGGAGGGGGUAGCGGAAUUCCCAGUGUAGCGGUGAAAUGCGUAGAUACUGGGAGGAACACCAGUGGCGAAGGCGGCUACCUGGACCGGAACUGACGCUGAGGCGCGAAAGCGUGGGGAGCAAACAGG